CCUAGGGAGACAUGAUCAUCAUUGUUGUAUAGAUGAGAACUGAGGAGUCAUGAUCAUCAAUGUUUUAGAGAAGAGGCCAAUGGAGACAUCAACAUCAUUGCAUUACAGUUGAGAUGAUGUCUGUGGAGUCUUUAUCAUCAUUGUGUUACAAAUGAGGCCUGAGGAGACAUGAUCAUCACAAUGUUACACUUGUGGCCUGGAGAGACAUGAUUAUCAUUUUGCUACAGAAUUGAUGAGGCCUGAGGAGACAUUAUCAUCAAUGUUUUAAGAAGAGCCCAGGGAACACACAAACAUCAGUGUGUCACAGAUGACGUCUGGGUAAUAGAUCGUCAUUCUGCUACAAACAAGGCCUGGGGAGACUUGAUUGUCACUGUGUUAUAGAUGAGGUCUGUGGAGGCUUGAUCGUCAAUGUGUUAGAGAUUGUACCUGGGGAGACAUGACCAUCAUUGUAUUACAAAUGAGGUCUAAUGAGACAUGAUCUUCGCUGCGCUACAGAUGAGGCCUGGGGAGACAUAAUCAUCAUUAUGUUACAGAAGAAGCCUGGGAAGGCAUGAUCAUCACUAUGUUACAAUUAGUCCUGAGAAGACUUGAUCAUGAUUGUACUAUAGAAGAGGCCUGAGAAGACAUGAUCAUCAUUGUUUUUGAGAAGAGGUCAGGGUAUACAUGAACAUCAUUGUGUUACAG